AUGAUUUUAGAGUAGGUAAUCAUAAAUUCAUUCAUUUCCAUCGUGAUUAUUUAUUUUCUAUUUAAUUGCUGGUCAACAAUAUUAAUUUGAGUAUUUAAAAAAAAAGAAAAACAUCCAUAGCUGUAUGUUAUUUACUAAAAUAAGUCAAAGCUUAAUGCAAACAUGAUUUGGGACUUAAUAUUCGGAAUAUUUAAUUUUAUUAUGGAUAUUAUUUUUCCAAGUGGAGAUGAUGAACCUGAUUCGUCGGAGGUGGAAACAGUAACAACAUAAUGUUGUGAAAUAAAAUAAAAUAAAAUAAACAGCAUUAUUUAAUUUGAUAUACAUAUAUUUUUUAUUACAUUUUGUUUAUUGUUAAAAACACAUAAAUAAAAUAUUUUUACUGUUGUAUAAUAAGUAA